AACUAUACGGUGAAACUGCGAAUGGCUCAUUAAAUCAGUUAUCGUUUAUUUGAUAGUACCUUACUACAUGGAUAACCGUGGUAAUUCUAGAGCUAAUACAUGCUAAAAACCCCAACUCGGGGUGUAUUUAUUAGAUAAAAAACCAAUGCCCUUCGGGGCUCCUUGGCGAAUCAUAAUAACUCAACGAAUCGCAUGGCCUUGCGCCGGCGAUGGUUCAUUCAAAUUUCUGCCCUAUCAACUUUCGAUGGUAGGAUAGUGGCCUACCAUGGUAGCAACGGGUACCGGGGAAUUAGGGUUCGAUUCCGGAGAGGGAGCCUGAGAAACGGCUACCACAUCCAAGGAAGGCAGCAGGCGCGCAAAUUACCCAAUCCCGAUACGGGGAGGUAGUGACAAUAAAUACUGAUACAGGGCUCUUUUGGGUCUUGUAAUUGGAAUGAGUACAAUUUAAAUCCCUUAACGAGGAACAAUUGGAGGGCAAGUCUGGUGCCAGCAGCCGCGGUAAUUCCAGCUCCAAUAGCGUAUAUUAAAGUUGUUGCAGUUAAAAAGCUCGUAGUUGAACCUUGGGCCUGGCUGGCCGGUCCGCCUCACCGCGUGCACUGGUCCGGCCGGGCCUUUCCUUCUGGGGAGCCGCAUGCCCUUCACUGGGCGUGCCGGGGAACCAGGACUUUUACUUUGAGAAAAUUAGAGUGUUCAAAGCAGGCCUUUGCUCGGAUACAUUAGCAUGGAAUAAUAGAAUAGGACGCGCGGUUCUAUUUUGUUGGUUUCUAGGACCGCCGUAAUGAUUAAUAGGGAUAGUCGGGGGCAUCAGUAUUCAAUUGUCAGAGGUGAAAUUCUUGGAUUUAUUGAAGACUAACUACU
rnacentral:rRNA from 1 species